AUGGCGGAGGGGGGCGAGCGGGGGCGCUCGUGGUACCUCAGCAAGGAGGAGAUCGAGGAAGGCUCGCCGUCCAGGAAGGACGGCAUGCCCGCCGCCAGGGAGGCCCAGCUCCGGUCCGUCUACUCCAGCUACAUCCGCGACGUCGGACGCAGGCUCGGGGUGCCCGACAUCACAAUCGCGACGGGCACCGUGCUGUGCCACCGCUUCUAUCUCCACCAGUCCCUGCUCAAGAACGAGUGGCAGACUGUUGCAACUGCUUGCAUCUUUCUUGCUUCGAAGAUUGAAGACACUCCUUGCCAAUUAGGACGUGUCGUUACUGUGGCACAUGAAACAAUGUAUAAGAGAAAACCUGAUGCUGCUCGCAGAAUCAAACAGAAGGAGGUCCUUGAGAAGCGGAAGGACCUAAUUUUGAUGGGGGAGGCACUAUUGCUUUCAACCAUCAGGUUUGAUUUCAAUAUACAGCAUCCUUAUGAGCCACUAAAUCUCGCUCUCAAGAAUCUGGGGAUCUCCCAGAAGGAAGUGAAACAAGCUGCAAUAAAUCUCAUAAAUGAUACGCUUCGGACUACAUUGGUAGUGCAAUUUAAACCACACUACAUAGCUGCUGGAGCUCUCCAUCUUGCCGCCAAGUUUCAUGAUGUUACACUCCCUUCUGAACAAGGAAAAGUAUGGUGGCAUCAAUUCGAUGUUGCUCCAAGGCAGUUGCAAGCUGCUAUCCAGCAAAUGAAACAGGUCUUUAAUGAAAGAAACCAACGCCCUGCGGGUCCUGCUAUCGGGCCCAUUCCAGCUCCAGCUCCGGUGGAGAAACAGCAGGCAGUAAGAUUCCCGAAGCCAGCUCUGGUGGCAAAACAGCAGACACUAAGCUUGCCAAAGCCAGCUCCGGUGGCAAAACAGCAGGCACUAAGCUUACUGAAGCCAGCUCCAGUGGAGGAACAGCAGGCUGUAAGCUUCCCGAAGCCAGCUCCAGUGGCAAAACAGCAGACAGUAAGCUCCCAGAAGCCUGCUCCGGUGGAGGAACAUCAGACAGUAAGCUCCCCAAAGCCUGCUCCAUUGGAGCCUGCUUUGGUGAAGAAAGAGCAGACAGCAAGCUCCCUGAAGCCUGCAGCGGAGAAACAGCAGACAGCAAGCUCCCCGAAGCCUGCUCCGGCGGAGAAACAGCAGACAGUAAGCUCCCCGAAGCCUGCUCCGGUGGAGAAACAGCAGAUUAUAAGCUUCCCAAAGCCUGUUCUGAAGUAUACAUAUUCAAGGAGAGGCCUAAGAAACACUGCAGCUCCAACUGUAACUCCAACUCCAACUCUGGUGAAGAAACAGCAGAAAAUAAGCACCCCAGAUGGCCCUGUUUCGCAUGCCUUCUCUCCAAGGGGAGUCCUAAAUGGACCCACUUCAGCUCCAACUAUAACUCCAAACCCAAUGAAAAAACAGCAGGCAUUAAGCACCCUAGACUCUGUUCUGAGGCAAGCACACCCUUCAGUUGGAGGAGUGAAGCGCACUAGAUCUCCAGCUCAAGAUAAAGCCCUGGUGAAGAAACAGAAGAUAAUAAGCGCCCCAAACUCUGUUGUGAGGCAUGCACGCCCUUCAGUUGUAGUAGUGAGGCCCACUGGAUCUCCAGCUCGAGCUAGAACCCCGGUGAAGAAAUCGCAGAUAAUAAGUGCCCAAGACUCUGUUCCGAGGCAUACUCGCCCUUCAGUCGGCGGCGAAAGAAGGCCCAGUACAGCUCCAGCUCCAGCUCCUGCUAGUGCUCUGGCAAGGAAACAGCCAACAAUAAGCACCCCAGACUCUGUUAUGAGGCAUACAGAUCCUUCAAGGAAUGAAGAUAGCAAGCCACUGCGAAUGCAUGUGGAUCAUAGCUUGAGUAGAACUGCCAAAGAUGGUAGGCUGGAGAAGCCAUCUUUCCAGGCAGCUCUAAACGCCGAUCAUGGCCACCAUGUCGGCAGCAGACCUAAAGAUGUAAAUAUGACAAGGGUCCCAAACUUGGUCGGACAGAAGAGAAGGAUCCAGGAGACUGCUGGACAGCCUCCUGCUCCGGCUGAUAGAUGUGCUGGAGAUGCUUCGAGGAGGCCGCAGCUUCCAAGUUUGAUCGUCGCCCCGCCGUCCUGGAAGAAACAGAAGAUCGAUGUUUAA
rnacentral:rRNA from 1 species